UAAUCGGGGCAGGGUGAGUCGACCCCUAAGGCGAGGCCGAAAGGCGUAGUCGAUGGGAAACAGGUUAAUAUUCCUGUACUUGGUGUUACUGCGAAGGGGGGACGGAGAAGGCUAUGUUGGCCGGGCGACGGUUGUCCCGGUUUAAGCGUGUAGGCUGGUUUUCCAGGCAAAUCCGGAAAAUCAAGGCUGAGGCGUGAUGACGAGGCACUACGGUGCUGAAGCGACAAAUGCCCUGCUUCCAGGAAAAGCCUCUAAGCAUCAGGUAACAUCAAAUCGUACCCCAAACCGACACAGGUGGUCAGGUAGAGAAUACCAAGGCGCUUGAGAGAACUCGGGUGAAGGAACUAGGCAAAAUGGUGCCGUAACUUCGGGAGAAGGCACGCUGAUAUGUAGGUGAAGCGACUUGCUCGUGGAGCUGAAAUCAGUCGAAGAUACCAGCUGGCUGCAACUGUUUAUUAAAAACACAGCACUGUGCAAACACGAAAGUGGACGUAUACGGUGUGACGCCUGCCCGGUGCCGGAAGGUUAAUUGAUGGGGUUAGCGGUAACGCGAAGCUCUUGAUCGAAGCCCCGGUAAACGGCGGCCGUAACUAUAACGGUCCUAAGGUAGCGAAAUUCCUUGUCGGGUAAGUUCCGACCUGCACGAAUGGCGUAAUGAUGGCCAGGCUGUCUCCACCCGAGACUCAGUGAAAUUGAACUCGCUGUGAAGAUGCAGUGUACCCGCGGCAAGACGGAAAGACCCCGUGAACCUUUACUAUAGCUUGACACUGAACAUUGAGCCUUGAUGUGUAGGAUAGGUGGGAGGCUUUGAAGUGUGGACGCCAGUCUGCAUGGAGCCGACCUUGAAAUACCACCCUUUAAUGUUUGAUGUUCUAACGUGGGCCCCUUACCGGGGUUGCGGACAGUGUCUGGUGGGUAGUUUGACUGGGGCGGUCUCCUCCUAAAGAGUAACGGAGGAGCACGAAGGUUGGCUAAUCCUGGUCGGACAUCAGGAGGUUAGUGCAAUGGCAUAAGCCAGCUUGACUGCGAGCGUGACGGCGCGAGCAGGUGCGAAAGCAGGUCAUAGUGAUCCGGUGGUUCUGAAUGGAAGGGCCAUCGCUCAACGGAUAAAAGGUACUCCGGGGAUAACAGGCUGAUACCGCCCAAGAGUUCAUAUCGACGGCGGUGUUUGGCACCUCGAUGUCGGCUCAUCACAUCCUGGGGCUGAAGUAGGUCCCAAGGGUAUGGCUGUUCGCCAUUUAAAGUGGUACGCGAGCUGGGUUUAGAACGUCGUGAGACAGUUCGGUCCCUAUCUGCCGUGGGCGCUGGAGAACUGAGGGGGGCUGCUCCUAGUACGAGAGGACCGGAGUGGACGCAUCACUGGUGUUCGGGUUGUCAUGCCAAUGGCACUGCCCGGUAGCUAAAUGCGGAAGAGAUAAGUGCUGAAAGCAUCUAAGCACGAAACUUGCCCCGAGAUGAGUUCUCCCUGACUCCUUGAGAGUCCUGAAGGAACGUUGAAGACGACGACGUUGAUAGGCCGGGUGUGUAAGCGCAGCGAUGCGUUGAGCUAACCGGUACUAAUGAACCGUGAGGCUUAACCUU
rnacentral:rRNA from 1 species